rnacentral:rRNA from 1 species
ACAGAGGGGGCAAGCGUUAUUCGGAAUUACUGGGCGUAAAGGGCGCGUAGGCGGUUGUUUAAGUCAGAUGUGUAAUCCCCGAGCUUAACUUGGGAACUGCAUCUGAGACUGGAGAGCUAGAGUGCUGGAGAGGGUGGUAGAAUUCCACGUGUAGCGGUGAAAUGCGUAGAGAUGUGGAGGAAUACCAGUGGCGAAGGCGGCCACCUGGACAGCAACUGACGCUGAGGCGCGAAAGUGUGGGUAGCAAACAG